rnacentral:rRNA from 1 species
UUUUAUCCUGGCUCAGGACGAACGCUGGCGGCAUGCCUAAUACAUGCAAGUCGAACGAUGAAGCCCGUGCUUGCACGGGUGGAAGAGUGGCGAACGGGUGAGUAACACGUGGGAAACCUGCCCAUAAGAGGGGGAUAACAGUCGGAAACGACUGCUAAUACCGCAUAGGUCAAGAAACCGCAUGGUUUCUGGAUGAAAGGAGGCUUCGGCUUCCACUUAUGGAUGGUCCCGCGGCGUAUUAGCUAGUUGGUGAGGUAGAGGCUCACCAAGGCGAUGAUACGUAGCCGACCUGAGAGGGUGAUCGGCCACACUGGGACUGAGACACGGCCCAGACUCCUACGGGAGGCAGCAGUAGGGAAUCUUCCACAAUGGGUGCAAACCUGAUGGAGCAAUGCCGCGUGAGUGAAGAAGGUCUUCGGAUCGUAAAGCUCUGUUGUAAGGGAAGAACAGGUAGGGUAGUAACUGGCCUUAUUUUGACGGUAUCUUACCAGAAAGUCACGGCUAACUACGUGCCAGCAGCCGCGGUAAUACGUAGGUGACAAGCGUUGUCCGGAUUUAUUGGGCGUAAAGCGAGCGCAGGCGGUCUUUUAAGUCUGAUGUGAAAGCCCACGGCUCAACCGUGGAGGGUCAUUGGAAACUGGAAGACUUGAAUACAGAAGAGGAAAGUGGAAUUCCAUGUGUAGCGGUGAAAUGCGUAGAUAUAUGGAGGAACACCAGUGGCGAAGGCGACUUUCUGGUCUGUAAUUGACGCUGAGGCUCGAAAAGCGUGGGGAGCGAACAGGAUUAGAUACCCUGGUAGUCCACGCCGUAAAACGAUGAGUGCUAAGUGUUGGAGGGUUUCCGCCCUUCAGUGCUGGAGCAAACGCAUUAAGCACUCCGCCUGGGGAGUACGACCGCAAGGUUGAAACUCAAAGGAAUUGACGGGGACCCGCACAAGCGGCGGAGCAUGUGGUUUAAUUCGAAGCAACGCGAAGAACCUUACCAGCUCUUGACAUCCUCUGACCGCUCUAGAGAUAGAGUUUUCCCUUCGGGGACAGAGUGACAGGUGGUGCAUGGUUGUCGUCAGCUCGUGUCGUGAGAUGUUGGGUUAAGUCCCGCAACGAGCGCAACCCUUGAUCUUAGUUGCCAGCAUUGAGUUGGGCACUCUAAGGUGACUGCCGGUGACAAACCGGAGGAAGGUGGGGAUGACGUCAAAUCAUCAUGCCCCUUAUGAUCUGGGCUACACACGUGCUACAAUGGGUGGUACAAAGGGCAGCGAAACCGCGAGGUUGAGCGAAUCCCAUAAAGCCAUCCCCAGUUCGGAUUGCAGGCUGCAACUCGCCUGCAUGAAGCCGGAAUUGCUAGUAAUCGCGGAUCAGCAUGCCGCGGUGAAUCCGUUCCCGGGCCUUGUACACACCGCCCGUCACACCACGAGAGUUUGUAACACCCGAAGUCGGUGCGAGAACCUUUAUGGGCUCAGCCGCCGAAGGUGGGACA